CUUUAUCUCAACUACAAUUCAAAACUUCCGGUAUUCAACAAGGUCCAUUACCCUUUGUGUAAAUAGUUUGACAUUAAUCAAGUCAACUGAUGACAAAUUCCAUCCUGAGAAUAAUGAGCAUCCUUUUCAUGACUUGAGAAAGGAUGAUAUCAUACCCAUGGAUGCUUUAGCAGCUUCUACAAUUUCUUUUGCUUUAUUUUCAUCUCCAACUAUUUCAGUUAAUGCUGAAAUUUUAUCUUCAGUCAAAUGGGAUUUGUCAUCGACGAAUUUUGCAACUUUGGCAUAUAGCUAUUCUGUUGACAAUCUUGAUCAACUCCGGAAAAUGUCAGGAGUAUCAUUCUCUACAUCAACAUGUAUUCAAUACAGGAAUCAAAUCGACUGAAAUGGAGGAACACUUCAUCCAUAUUGCAGAAAGCCAUGCAGAUGAAAAAGAGUUCAAGAAGAAUACAAAAGAACAAAUAAAGAAAUAAAAGAAUUCCACGGGUGUAACCACAAAAGUUUGCUCACACUCGUCAAGUGAAGGAAACAAGUGAAGGUUUUAAGAAGAAGUUACAAUUGACCGUCUGCUUGCUCACACCCAUCAAGUGAAGGAAACAAGUGAACGUUUUGAGAAGAGUUAUAAGUUGAUUGUGAUAACGACCACUUCAAAGAAUGCAGUCGUUGGUUCAACAUUAUAAUUUUCUAUAAAUAGAGGUAUUUCUUUGAUCAUUAAGCAUCCAAAAAUUAGCAAAAACAAAGUGUUGGUCUCUUGUAAUAAAUAUUUCUUCAAAUCUUUUCCA